AUAUUAAACUUGUUGCAGUUAAAAAGCUCGUAGUUGAAUGUCAGCGUUUUCGCGUUUCCGCGUUUUCGCUUUUGUCGUUACUUUGAGAAAAUUAGAGUGUUUCAAGCAGGCUUUCGCCUUGAAUACUUCAGCAUGGAAUAAUAGAGUAGGACCUUGGUUCUUCUUUGUUGGUUUAGAUGCCAUGGUAAUGGUUAAUAGGAACGGUUGGGGGCAUUCGUAUUUGACUGUCAGAGGUGAAAUUCUUAGAUUUGUCAAAGACGAACGAGUGCGAAAGCAUUUGCCAAGGACGUUUCCAUUAAUCAAGAACGAAAGUUAGGGGAUCGAAGACGAUCAGAUACCGUCGUAGUCCUAACCAUAAACUAUGCC
rnacentral:rRNA from 1 species